rnacentral:rRNA from 1 species
UACGUAGGGCGCAAGCGUUAUCCGGAAUUAUUGGGCGUAAAGAGCUCGUAGGCGGUUUGUCGCGUCUGCCGUGAAAGUCCGGGGCUCAACUCCGGAUCUGCGGUGGGUACGGGCAGACUAGAGUGAUGUAGGGGAGACUGGAAUUCCUGGUGUAGCGGUGAAAUGCGCAGAUAUCAGGAGGAACACCGAUGGCGAAGGCAGGUCUCUGGGCAUUAACUGACGCUGAGGAACGAAAGCAGGGGGAGCGAACAGG